UUAUUUGAUUUUACCCUUCGCCACGGAGUUGCAAAGCGCUGUGUACGUGUAUGCAUCGUUGUUGGUUCGUCCGCACCUCCGAUCAGGGAUUAGCCCUACCAUACUGAUAGCUUGUCACACAGCUCUCAGUUUGUUGCAGAACGAGAGUGUAGGGUCGGGACAGCUCGUUUGUUCGGACACGCGCAUCAGCAUGCCCUUUGGAGACUACAACUGAUUCGAUCGGUGUUGGCAGAGUGUUCUAGGCGAUGCAGUCAGCCAGCGGUAUAGCCAGCGGUCUUGUAACAUAUUGAGCGGAGAAUUGCACCAUUGGGAGAAGCCAUAAAGUUAGUUUUGCAGCUGGCAGGUGCGCGGUAGUGACCCGCUCGGGAACAACGCACCGUGGUCUCCACCUUCUUCGUGAUCCACAUACUGUUGACGAGAUCCGUGGGAAUUGCACCAUUGGCAAGUGGCUGAUUGUCGCGUCAGAUGUCGGGUCGGUAAGCUUUCGGCUCACAGAAUGGAAUCUUUCCAAGAUGAGCUUGUGGACCUGUGCGUACAGGACAAGGCUGAGGAGAUCAAGGCCAAGCUUUUUGUGAACGGCCAGGUUAUCGCACUUGCUGCCAAUAGAUACCAUCGAAGUCCCAGAGUGUCACUUCUGGCUUAUCUGGGCUGGACAGCAGUUCAACAGGAUUCGCGAGGCGUCCUACAAUUUCUCCUCAAAAUCGUUCCCGGUGAUGUCUUCAUUCAGCCUUUUGGCUUAAAGCGCCGGAAUGCAAUUCAUGCUGCCACUCUUCAGAAACACUUGGAGUGUCUGAAGUUGUUGUGUGCUGCUAAUUUGAAUCUUAAUAGCCGCGAUAAUGUAAGUAGUAGUUUCAGUGAACUGCUCCUUAUCUUAAAAGGAU